rnacentral:rRNA from 1 species
GACGAACCGUGCGAACGUUGUUCGGAAUCACUGGGCAUAAAGGGCGCGUAGGCGGCUUGUCAAGUCAGUGGUGAAAUCUCGCAGCUUAACUGCGAAACUGCCAUUGAUACUGUAGGACUUGAGUAUAGUUGCUGUGGGCGGAAUAUGACAUGUAGUGGUGAAAUACUUAGAGAUGUCAUAGAACACCGAUUGCGAAGGCAGCUCACAAAACUAUAACUGACACUGAGGCUCGAAAGUGCGGGGAUCAAACAGG